CUGGCUUCUCUUACUAUGGCUCUAAUGGACUACUGAAUUCACAGAGAAUGGAACCAAUGGAUUUCUAAGCAUAAAAUCCCCUUUUUGUUUAAAUGGCAAUGUCGCUGGAUGUAGAACAGGUGUCUCAAAAGAACAUAAGGAUUAAAUGGCUGUCAUGCCUUCUAUGGGGACAGUACUAAGCUAGAAUUUGUCUCUUCAGGGUGGUUUCCUCCCAACUGUUGAAAGUGGAGUUUACCUGCCUAUAAAUAGGGCAUGGGGUCUGACUACUGAUAGAGGGAUGCAAGAGGGAAAGGAUUUGGGGAACUAGAGGUUUGGGACAAAAAGCUACAAAAAAGAAAGGAAGAAAAUGUGAUAAGAAAAUCUGGAAGUCCUGGUGCCAAUACCCUGAUGGCCUGCUGAGGACUGGAGUUAGUCCAGGGGCCUUCAGGUAACACUGAGGUGUAGCCUUGGCAAGAAACCUUCAGUUGCCCCAGGACCUCCUUCCAGCCCCACGCAAUUGCUAGGCCCUCCAUGAAA
rnacentral:lncRNA from 1 species